rnacentral:tRNA from 1 species
CCGGGAUAGCUCAGUUGGUAGAGCAGAGGACUGAAAAUAUUGAGCUAUUUCA